rnacentral:rRNA from 1 species
AUUGAACGCUGGCGGGAGGAAGAAAAAAGGCAAGUCGAGCGGAUGACGGGAGCUUGCUCCGUGAUUCAGCGGCGGACGGGUGAGUAAUGCCUAGGAAUCUGCCUGGUAGUGGGGGACAACGGUUCGAAAGGAACGCUAAUACCGCAUACGUCCUACGGGAGAAAGCAGGGGACCUUCGGGCCUUGCGCUAUCAGAUGCACCUCGGUCGGAUUAGCUUGUUGGUGAGGUAAUGGCUCACCAAGGCGACGAUCCGUAACUUGUCUGAGAGGAUGAUCAGUCACACUGGAACUGAGACACGGUCCAGACUCCUACGGGAGGCAGCAGUGGGGAAUAUUGGACAAUGGGCGAAAGCCUGAUCCAGCCAUGCCGCGUGUGUGAAGAAGGUCUUCGGAUUGUAAAGCCCUUUAAGUUGGGAGGAAGGGUUGUAGAUUAAUACUCUGCAAUUUUGACGUUACCGACAGAAUAAGCACCGGCUCCCUCUGUU